CUGAGGCUCCCGCAGCAAGUCCCCCUGGGGCAUGGCAGGUGUAUUUGCCACCCACAGCCCAGCCCAGCCAGAAUGCCCACAGGCCCCAGCCUUCCUGUUGGGGGGCUUGGGGGUGUGCAUCCUGGUUGCCAUGGCAACCCACAGGCUCCUCUCCUCAGGCACCCGCUUCUCUUAAGGAGCUGAUUUUCCAACAUCAUUCUGCCCUUCCCGCCUCGCCGCCCCUCCCGGCCCCAGUCUAUGUUUAGACUGAGCGCCCCCUCUUCUCCUCCCUCACCCCACACCCAAGCCCCCGCACACCAGGAAUAGCAGGCGAACCGCCACCCUGCGAGUAGCCUACAUACCCAUUGAGCAAGUGGAAAGAUGGCUAAUUUGAGUGCUGCGCUUCCACCCGCGGGCGAGCGCACAGGCCACCUCUGCCUGUGACUAUUAGCCUCCCUCCACGGAACACACAUUUACCUAAGAAGAAGCUCCUGCCCCUGCCUUCUGUGGUUUGCCUACUUCACACCCUGCCCAAAACCUGAUCUUUGAAAUAACACUCAGAGGGUGGAUCUUCAUCCCAGGAACCAAGAACAGGGCUGGCGCGAGGCAGGCACCAACAUGGACAUUCGUCAAACCGAUCCAUCAACACACUUCUGCUGUUUUCUGGAAACAUAUCCUUCUCCCAGCAGGACUGUGACCGUCCCGCAGCACACGGUGUCUGGUGCACAGCAGACACUCGAGAUAUCAGCGUGUGGAAAGGAGGACGGAACAGCAUAAGCAGAGGCACGGAGGAGGACUGACAGGUGAUCGCCGAGGAGGAUCCUGCGGCAGACGCUCGCCCGUGCUCCACCCUUGUGGAUCCUGGUACCGGAUACAAGACUGUUCACACAGCAGAAUCAACACAUUUGUUGAUAGAAUAAAUGAAAUAAAGCCAGGCCUGGCCCUCGGAGACCCCUGGUGGCAGGGAUGCCAGGCGGCGGCCAUGCUCUGCUCCUACCUGCACCCCCAUGGGUCUCACCCA